rnacentral:rRNA from 1 species
AUUGAACGCUGGCGGCAGGCCUAACACAUGCAAGUCGAGCGAGCGGCGGACGGGUGAGUAAUGUCUGGGAAACUGCCUGAUGGAGGGGGAUAACUACAGGAAACGGUAGCUAAUAACGCAACACAUCAGAUGUGCCCAGAUGGGCUUAGCUAGUAGGUGGGGUAAUGGCUCACCUAGGCGACGAUCCCUAGCUGGUCUGAGAGGAUGACCAGCCAAACUGGAACUGAGACACGGGCCAGACUCCUACGGGGGGCAGCAGUGGGGAAUAUUGCACAAUGGGCGCAAGCCUGAUGCAGCCAUGCCGCGUGUGUGAAGAAGGCCUUCGGGUUGUAAAGCACUUUCAGCGGGGAGGCGUUACCCGCAGAAGAAGCACCGGCUAACUCCGUGCCAGCAGCCGCGGUAAUUC